CGUGCAGGCGGUUUGGUAAGUUGGAUGUGAAAGCUCCCGGCUCAACUGGGAGAGGUCGUUCAAAACUGCCAGACUAGAGGACGGUAGAGGAAGGUAGAAUUCCCGGUGUAGUGGUGAAAUGCGUAGAUAUCGGGAGGAAUACCAGUGGCGAAGGCGGCCUUCUGGGCCGUUCCUGACGCUAAGACGCGAAAGCAUGGGUAGCGAACG
rnacentral:rRNA from 1 species